UGGCGGACGGGUGAGUAACGCGUGGGGAACCUGCCCUGUACCGGGGGAUAGCAGCCGGAAACGGCUGAUAAUACCGCAUAAGCGCACGAAUGUCGCAUGACAUGGUGUGAAAAACUCCGGUGGUAUAGGAUGGACCCGCGUCUGAUUAGCCGGUUGGUGGGGUAAAAGCCUACCAAAGCGAAGAUCAGUAGCCGAGUUGAGAGACUGACCGGCCACAUUGGGACUGAGACACGGCCCAGACUCCUACGGGAGGCAGCAGUC
rnacentral:rRNA from 1 species